rnacentral:rRNA from 2 species
GACGAACCGAGCGAACGUUGUUCGGAAUCACUGGGCUUAAAGGGCGCGUAGGCGGGUGCUCAAGUCCGGGGUGAAAUCCUCCAGCUCAACUGGAGAACUGCCUCGGAUACUGGGUGCCUCGAGUGUGGUAGGGGUGCGCGGAACUAUCGGUGGAGCGGUGAAAUGCGUUGAUAUCGAUAGGAACUCCGGUGGCGAAGGCGGCGCACUGGACCACAACUGACGCUGAGGCGCGAAAGCCAGGGGAGCAAACGGG